rnacentral:rRNA from 1 species
CGGCACGGGUGAGUAACACGUAUCCAACCUGCCGUCUACUCUUGGACAGCCUUCUGAAAGGAAGAUUAAUACAAGAUGGCAUCAUGAGUUCACAUGUUCACAUGAUUAAAGGUAUUCCGGUAGACGAUGGGGAUGCGUUCCAUUAGGCAGUUGGUGGGGUAACGGCCCACCAAACCUUCGAUGGAUAGGGGUUCUGAGAGGAAGGUCCCCCACAUUGGAACUGAGACACGGUCCAA